rnacentral:rRNA from 1 species
UACGGAGGGUGCAAGCGUUAUCCGGAUUCACUGGGUUUAAAGGGUGCGUAGGCGGCCUGUCGCGUCGGGAGUGAAAGCCCACUGCUUAACGGUGGGUCUGCUUCCGGUACGGGCGGGCUGGAGUAUGGCAGGGGAGAGUGGAAUUCCUGGUGUAGCGGUGAAAUGCGCAGAUAUCAGGAAGAACACCCGUGGCUAAGGCGGCUCUCUAGUACGGUACUGACGCUGAGACGCGAAAGCGUGGGGAGCGAACAGG